rnacentral:rRNA from 1 species
GAGUUUGAUCGUGGCUCAGAGUGAACGCUGGCGGCGUGCUUAACACAUGCAAGUCGAGCGAAUUUCAGCAGUGUAUCGCUGAGGUUAGCGGCAGACGGGUGAGUAAUACUUGGGCAAUCUGCCCUUGAGAGGGAAACAACCCGCCGAAAGGUGGGCUAAUGUCCCAUAAGACCACGGGGUCGCAUGAUCCCGAGGUCAAAGCUCCGCAAGGGGCGCUUGAGGAGGAGCCUGAGGCCUAGUCAUGGUAGUUGGUGAGGUAACGGCUCACCAAGCCUGCGACGGGUAGCCGGCCUGAAAGGGUGAUCGGCCACACUGGCACUGAGACACGGGCCAGACUCCUACGGGAGGCAGCAGUGGGGAAUAUUGGACAAUGGGGGCAACCCUGAUCCAGCGACGCCGCGUGUGUGAAGAAGGCCUGCGGGUUGUAAAGCACGUUUUAGUGGGGAUGAAAAGCC